UACGUAGGGUGCGAGCGUUGUCCGGAAUUAUUGGGCGUAAAGGGCUCGUAGGCGGUUUGUCGCGUCGGGAGUGAAAACACCGGGCUUAACUCGGUGCUUGCUUUCGAUACGGGCAGACUAGAGGCAUGCAGGGGAGAACGGAAUUCCUGGUGUAGCGGUGAAAUGCGCAGAUAUCAGGAGGAACACCGAUGGCGAAGGCAGUUCUCUGGGCCGUAACUGACGCUGAGGAGCGAAAGCGUGGGGAGCGAACAGG
rnacentral:rRNA from 1 species